CUUCAGUGAAGAGAUGGUGACAAAUCUGCUUGCAAGUUUUAUCUUUGCCCAUGAGGCCCUACUCUGCGCUGUGUUCUAACACGAUUUCGCCAGUUUUUGACAGA
rnacentral:snoRNA from 1 species